CCCGUGUCAGGCCGCAAAGCGCCACUUCGCCAAGGAGUGCAGCCUGUAUGGCCCCAGGAGGACUGGGU
rfam:Tsutu virus strain Spain MB119/06, complete genome